rnacentral:rRNA from 1 species
CAGUCGCCGCGGUAAUACAGAGGGUGCGAGCGUUAAUCGGAUUUACUGGGCGUAAAGCGUGCGUAGGCGGCUAAUUGAGUCGGAUGUGAAAUCCCCGAGCUUAACUUGGGAAUUGCAUUCGAUACUGGUUAGCUAGAGUGUGGGAGAGGAUGGUAGAAUUCCAGGUGUAGCGGUGAAAUGCGUAGAGAUCUGGAGGAAUACCGAUGGCGAAGGCAGCCAUCUGGCCUAACACUGACGCUGAGGUACGAAAGCAUGGGGAGCAAACAGGAUUAGAGACCCCGGUAGUCCCUGUCUCUUAUAA